rnacentral:lncRNA from 1 species
AUGGUGGUUGGCAAGAACAAGCACCUUAUGAAAGGUGGCAAAAAGGGAGCCAAGAAGAAAGUGGUUGAUCCAUUUUCUAAGGAAGACUUGUACAAUGUGAAAGCACCUGCUACGUUCAAUAUAAGAAAUAUCGGAAAGAUGCUAGUCACCAGGACCCAAUGAACCAAAAUUGCAUCUGAUGUCCUCAUGGGUCAUGUGUUUGAAGUGAGUUUUGCUGAUUUGCAGAAUGAUGAAGUUGCAUUUAGAAAAUUAAAGCUGAUUAUUGAAGAUGUUCAGGGCAAAAGCUACCUGACGAACUUCCAUGGCAUGAAUCUUACCCAUGACAAAAUGUGUUCCAUGGUCAAAAAAUGGCAGACAGUGAUCGAAGCUCAUGUUGAUGUCAAGACUACCAAUGGUUACUUGCUUUGUCUGUUCUGUGUUGGUUUUACUAAAAAAUGCAACAAUCAAAUAUGGAAGACUUCUUAUGCUUAGCAUCAACAGGUCCGCCAAAUCUGGAAGAAGAUGAUGGAAAUCAUGAACUGAGAGGUGCAGACAAAUGACUUGAAAGAAGUGGUCAAUAAACUGACUCCAGACAGCAUUGGAAAAGACAUAGAAAAGCCUUGCCAAUCCAUUUAUCCUCUCCAGAUGUUUUCAUUAGAAAAGUAAAAAAGAAAAGUAAAAAUGCUGAAGAAGCCCAAGUAUGAAUUGGAAAAACUACUCAUGGAGCUUCAUGGUGAAGGAAGUAGUUCUGGAAAAGCCACUGGGGACAAGAUAGGUGCUAAAGAUGAGCAAGCUGAUGGAUAUGAACCACCAGUCCAAGAAUCUGUU